GAUGAAGAACGUAGCGAAAUGCGAUAAGUAAUGUGAAUUGCAGAAUUCAGUGAAUCAUCGAAUCUUUGAACGCACAUUGCGCCCGCCAGCAUUCUGGCGGGCAUGCCUGUUCGAGCGUCAUUUCAACCCUCGAGCCCCCCCGGGGGCCUCGGUGUUGGGGGACGGCACACCAGCCGCCCCCGAAAUGCAGUGGCGACCCCGCCGCAGCCUCCCCUGCGUAGUAGCACACACCUCGCACCGGAGCGCGGAGGCGGUCACGCCGUAAAACGCCCAACUUUCUUAGAGUUGACCUCGGAUCGGGUAGGAAUACCCGCUGAACUUAAGCAUAUCAAUAAGCGGAGGA
rnacentral:misc_RNA from 1 species